ACCUACUGUUUCUUGUCUCCCUGUUAAUAGCAUGUGUACAAAGUACAUGAUGCCUGUGGACUCACUAGUGUUUUUCUUAUUUGCAGGAAUGACCUGUCAUUGACAGAAGACAGGGCCAGGAACACACACACACACACACACACACCCCAGCUGUUUGUGAAGCCUGACUGAGUAGAUUGUGACAGCUUCUCUCCUAAGUUCUCUUGUCUUUCCAGAGGUGGCCGCCUGACCCUUCGAGCCCGUGUGUCAUGCUCCCUCUUCUGCUUCCCACCUGGCCCAGUGGACUCCCAACCAGCAAUGUCUCCAGGAUUCAAGAUGUGGAAAAACAGAGAAAAUUUCCAAGAAAUGCUGGGGAGGAAUUCCUAAAUGAAAACCACUUGGUCCCCAGCUGUCAAGAGAAAAUGGCGCCACACUGGCCCACAGCUUCUAACACCCAAGUUCCUCAGCUGAUAGUCAAGCAAGUGAUUUGAGCCCUCCUGCUACAUAAAAAGCCACGAAUUUUUAUUUAUUUUUGAGAGGAUGUCUCCAAACAUCUGUUCACUUUUUGACUUGUUUACGUAGCUCAUGGACUGUCUGCUCUGUGUCAGGCACGGCUCGGGAGACCGGAAGAUGAGAACACGUAGUUCCCACCCGGUGCUCAAACCUGAAAUACGGAGGCAGAGACGGGAGCCCGGUUCACCAGCAGGGAGUCCUGCUCCCCAGGCCAGGCGAGGCAGGAGCACAGAGGGGUCUGCCAGUGCGGAUCCUGCCUGGAGCCUGCCAAGGUUUCACUCAGGAAAUCAUGGUUUUGUUUGGCUCUUGAAGAGAAGGAACAGACAGAAAAGGAGGGGGAAGAAAUUCCAUAUAUGGAGCUCAACUUGGGCAGAGCACAAAGGUGUGUGAAGAACAUAGCACGCAGGACUGGGGCUGGAAGGUCCCAUUCGCUACACUGGGACAUCUCACUCUAUCCUUUGCUUCCUGGGAAACCUUUUCUUCUUCCUCAGCCUUACUGAGGUAUAAUCGACGCAUAAAAGGCGUAUAUAUUUAAGGUGUACAACAUGAUGAUUUGAUAUG